GAUGAACGCUGGCGGCGUGCCUAAUACAUGCAAGUCGAGCGAACGGACGAGAAGCUUGCUUCUCUGAUGUUAGCGGCGGACGGGUGAGUAACACGUGGAUAACCUACCUAUAAGACUGGGAUAACUUCGGGAAACCGUAGCUAAUACCGGAUAAUAUUUUGAACCGCAUGGUUCAAAAGUGAAAGACGGACUUGCUGUCACUUAUAGAUGGAUCCGCGCUGCAUUAGCUAGUUGGUAAGGUAACGGCUUACCAAGGCAACGAUGCAUAGCCGACCUGAGAGGGUGAUCGGCCACACUGGAACUGAGACACGGUCCAGACUCCUACGGGAGGCAGCAGUAGGGAAUCUUCCGCAAUGGGCGAAAGCCUGACGGAGCAACGCCGCGUGAGUGAUGAAGGUCUUCGGAUCGUAAAACUCUGUUAUUAGGGAAGAACAUAUGUGUAAGUAACUGUGCACAUCUUGACGGUACCUAAUCAGAAAGCCACGGCUAACUACGUG
rnacentral:rRNA from 1 species